GUCCUUGUAGCUCAGUUGGAUAGAGCGCACGAUUCCUAAUCGUGAGGCCGUGGGUUCAAAUCCCGCCGAGGACACCA
rnacentral:tRNA from 1 species